rnacentral:sRNA from 1 species
UUGAUGUCGCACCCGAGAUACCGGAACUUC